UCCUACGGGAGGCAGCAGUGAGGAAUAUUGGACAAUGGGCGCAAGCCUGAUCCAGCCAUGCCGCGUGCAGGAUGACGCUCCUAUGGAGUGUAAACUGCUUUUGUACGGGAAGAAACACUCCUACGUGUAGGAGCUUGACGGUACCGUAAGAAUAAGGAUCGGCUAACUCCGUGCC
rnacentral:rRNA from 1 species